CAAAAUUGCAGUUUGCAUUGCUAGAGAGCUCUUCAGUUGACGAUGAUCUUGCAAACUUGAAGAAAGAACUAUCUGGUAGUUCAAAGAAAGGAGAGCUCCCACCUGGAAGAACUGCUGCUCCGAGUUCGAACAAGGCAUAUCCAUUUCGAGAUUCUGAGAUUGAGAUGGAGCUUAAUGAAUUGAGAAGAAAAGCCAAGGACUUCUGAGUUUUGCUUUUCAGGCACAAAUAUUGCAAUUCUUUAUAGGCAAAUAUGAAGUUGUUUUCAUUUUGAGAACUGGUUAGCAUUUGUACAGCAGAAAGGCCAACAGAUUAACGUUGUAUAGCUAGAGCCCAGACUCGAAUUGAAGUUGCUUCUUUGUGAUUGUAGGCACCCUUUGCAUGCUCUUAUUGUAAUUCACAUCCGCUGCAGCAAAGCCAGUUUCUGGAUUAUGUACGAGCACCUA